GACGAACGCUGGCGGCGUGCUUAACACAUGCAAGUCGAACGGUAAGGCCCUUCGGGGUACACGAGUGGCGAACGGGUGAGUAACACGUGGGUGAUCUGCCCUGCACUUCGGGAUAAGCCUGGGAAACUGGGUCUAAUACCGGAUAGGACCCUGGGAUGCAUGUCCUGGGGUGGAAAGCUUUUGCGGUGUGGGAUGGGCCCGCGGCCUAUCAGCUUGUUGGUGGGGUGAUGGCCUACCAAGGCGACGACGGGUAGCCGGCCUGAGAGGGCGACCGGCCACACUGGGACUGAGAUACGGCCCAGACUCCUACGGGAGGCGGCAGUGGGGAAUAUUGCACAAUGGGCGCAAGCCUGAUGCAGCGACGCCGCGUGAGGGAUGACGGCCUUCGGGUUGUAAACCUCUUUCAGCACCGACGAAGCGCAAGUGACGGUAGGUGCAGAAGAAGGACCGGCCAACUACGUGCCAGCAGCCGCAGUAAUAC
rnacentral:rRNA from 1 species